AUGGCUAAAGUCCCCAAGGUAACACACCCCGAGUAUGUUGAUUUCAAUAGUGAUGAAGAUGACUUUCUAGGUGAUGAUGAUUUACUUGUUGACAACUCUAGUGAUGAAUACUAUGAUGAAAAUGCUAUUAAUCAUGUUAAUCAAGAUGAAACGAAUGACAAUGAUAAGAAGGAAAUUGGGCGUCUAACUAAAGAACUAAACACUCUUAAGUUGGCUCAUGAAACUACUUUAGAGGAUCAUCGAGAACUUUUAAAAACUCAUGAGAAGUUACGCUUCGGGAAGCUCAAUCUUGAGCAAGAACAUGGGUUCUUAAAAGCCAUCAAUGAUGAUCUUCGGAAGAAAAGUUCUUCUUACAUUGCCAAGCGUUUACUCGUGUCUACUUACAUGCCACAAUUAAAAUCUAGCAACAAGAACAAGAAAGAUUCUUCUUCUAGUAGUAAAAAUUAUCAUGCUAAAUCCAAUAUUGUUGCCUCUAGUAGAACUCUUGAUUCCACUAAUGAUUCUCUUACCCAAGUUACACUUGAGCAAGAAAAUAGCUUAUUAAAGGGAAUUAUAGAGAAAGGUGUUUACAAGAGCCUUGCCGGAAGUAAGCAAUUUGAGGAAAUUGUACGCAAGCAAGGAAGACAUCGGAAUAAUCAAGGUGUUGGUUUUGAACGGAAGUUCAAUGCCAAUGGAGUUGAGUGGGAAGAAGAUCAAUACCCCAAGACGAAGUUUGUUCCUCAACAAGAGAAGUAUGAUCCUACUUCCUUCAAGGGGACACAAGCUCAAGAUGAUCUUCCACCACAAGACCACAAGCUAAAAGGCAAGGACAAGCUUCAAGAGGAGAUUGAUACAUUUGAAGAUGCUCCAAAGGCCUUGGUCAAGUGGGUUCCCAAGACUACAUCGAGUUCUACUUCAUCUAGUACUUCUAUAACUCCAAGGAUUCCCAUCAAGAUGAUGUGGAUCCCAAAGAACAAGAACUAG
rnacentral:rRNA from 1 species